UGCUUGUGUGCAGUUCUUCUCUAAUUUCUGUGUGUUUUUGUUUUUUUGUCGCCCUGUGUUCUGUGCUUCCGUAGUUGCCAAAGUGCUGAAACUAAAGAAGAAAAAUGUUGCUGAUUUUUUCCUCUUUCUUUUAUAGCUCCAAACUCAAAACACACACAAAAAUCGAUGUGAGAAAAU
rnacentral:ribozyme from 1 species